AGUGAACGCUGGCGGUAGGCCUAACACAUGCAAGUCGAACGGCAGCACAGUAAGAGCUUGCUCUUGCGGGUGGCGAGUGGCGGACGGGUGAGGAAUACAUCGGAAUCUACUUUUUCGUGGGGGAUAACGUAGGGAAACUUACGCUAAUACCGCAUACGACCUACGGGUGAAAGCAGGGGAUCUUCGGACCUUGCGCGAUUGAAUGAGCCGAUGUCGGAUUAGCUAGUUGGCGGGGUAAAGGCCCACCAAGGCGACGAUCCGUAGCUGGUCUGAGAGGAUGAGCAGCCAGACUGGAACUGAGACACGGUCCAGACUCCUACGGGAGGCAGCAGUGGGGAAUAUUGGACAAUGGGCGCAAGCCUGAUCCAGCCAUACCGCGUGGGUGAAGAAGGCCUUCGGGUUGUAAAGCACUUUUGUUGGGAAAGAAAAGCAGCAGGUUAAUACCCCGCUGUUCUGACGGUACCCAAAGAAUAAGCACCGGCUAACUUCGUG
rnacentral:rRNA from 1 species